AGGCGCAGGGUUGGCCCGAGGUGGGGCGCGGCUGGCGGCUGUGCCGGGACAACUGCCGGGCCCGCGCGGAGCGGGGCCGCGAGUUUGUGAGGUGAUCUCGCCCCGACCCAGCGGCUCCGGUCCCCCGCGAUGUCGAGACCAGAGCCGGGCAGCUCGCCUCUCUGAGCUGGUCCCAGCGCGGACGGCACGGAGGGAGGCCAUGGCGGAGUCCUCCGAGCCCGGGCUGCGGGCGUCAGCCGGCGGCGGGAGCUUGGAGGAGGAGGACGACGAGGAGCGGGAGCCGCUGCUGCCGCGGUUCGCCUGGGCCCAGCCGCUUAAGGGCGCCCCCGGGAGCGCCGUCAGGCUCGUGGAGGCUGCCGGCGAGGAAGGCGCGGCCUCCCCUCGCGAGGCUGGAGACGAGGAACUGCUGCUCCCGUCCCGGGACGCGCCCAGCCGCUCCUCCUGGGGCGUGGGGGUCCUCUCGGGCUCGCCCACCCACCCGAACCGGAAACCGCCCCUGGGUGCAGCAUUGAAUACAUUCCUGGAUGAUCCUGAAUUUGCUGAUGUUAUAUUGAAAGCAGAGCAAGCAAUAGAAUUUGGAGUUUUUCCAGAAAGAAUCUCUCAAGGUUCAAGUGGAAGUUACUUUGUGAAGGAUCCUAAGAGGAAAAUUAUUGGUGUAUUUAAACCCAAAUCAGAAGAGCCUUAUGGUCAACUGAAUCCAAAAUGGACCAAAUAUGUUCAUAAGGUCUGCUGCCCUUGCUGCUUCGGUAGAGGCUGCCUGCUUCCUAAUCAGGGAUACCUUUCUGAAGCUGGUGCCUCCCUUGUGGAUGAAAAGCUGCAUCUGAAUAUUGUACCUAAAACAAAGGUGGUUUGGCUUGUCAGUGAGACAUUUAACUACAGUGCAAUUGACCGUGCAAAAUCUAGAGGCAAAAAGUAUGCUUUAGAGAAAGUGCCAAAAGUAGGUAGAAAAUUCCAUCGGAUAGGACUCCCCCCUAAGAUUGGUUCCUUUCAGUUAUUUGUUGAAGGUUACAAGGAGGCUGAAUAUUGGCUUAGGAAAUUUGAAGCUGACCCUUUGCCCGAGAAUAUUAGAAAACAAUUUCAGUCACAGUUUGAAAGAUUAGUUAUUUUGGAUUACAUCAUCAGAAAUACAGACAGGGGAAAUGACAAUUGGUUAAUCAAAUACGAAAAGCAACAGGGAAAGGAAGUUAAGGAAACGAAAUGGAUUGAUGAUAAAGAAUCACUUAUUAAAAUAGCUGCAAUUGAUAAUGGUCUGGCAUUUCCUUUUAAGCAUCCUGAUGAGUGGAGAGCAUAUCCAUUUCACUGGGCUUGGCUUCCUCAAGCAAAAGUUCCUUUUUCUGAAGAAAUAAGAAACUUGAUUCUACCAUGUAUUUCUGACAUGAACUUUGUGCAAGAUUUAUGUGAAGAUCUGCAUGAACUUUUUAAGACUGACAGAAGAUUUAACAAAGCUACUUUUGAAAGUCAGAUGUCUGUUAUGAGGGGUCAGAUCUUAAAUCUUACUCAGGCAUUGAAAGAUGGGAAGAGUCCUGUCCAGUUGGUACAAAUGCCUUGUGUGAUUGUGGAACGCAGUCAAGGUAGAAAUCAGGGCCGCAUUGUCCACCUCAGCAGUUCAUUCACCCAGACCGUCCACUGCAGGAAGCCAUUUUUCUCUUCCUGGUAGCAGAUGGAAGCGUAAGAGAAAAAAACAUUUGGCAUUAUUAUGUUGUUAGAACAUUACCGCAGGGCGAAUCUGCUGUUAAGAUCUCCAGUUGCCAAAAGCUCAAAUAAUGAUUUUGUAGCACCAUGAACUCCCGGAUGAUGUAACUUGAGACGAGCCCAGUAUGAAGAUGUGAUUCUGAAGAACCAGAAGCUUCAUCCUCUUCUUCAGGCCCCAAACAAGGAACACUUAAACUAAACUGGCAGUUUGUGCUCUAGGCCUCUUUUUUUUUUUUUUUUUUUUUUUUUUUUUUAGCUUUCUGUCUUGUGAUUUUCUUUUUUUUUACUUAAGUAUUUUCGUGUAAAAGGUGUUUUCUGAGGGUUCGAUUAGGAAAGAAGACAGAUGUGCAGACCCCCCCCUUCUCUCACCUCCCUGUCUUGGGCUCCAUGGGUGUGGCAAGUGAGAACACUGCUGCCUUAAGGAAAGUUCACUGGACACCUGUGUUCUCCUACCUCCAACCCCGGCCUUCCGUGAUCGUAACGCUGAGAUCAUGGGAAAUUGACUGGAAAUUCAAAACUCAACUACUAUCUUGAGAUAAAUACUAGUAAUUCAAAUGUGCCUUUUGAAGAUGUGUUCUUAAAUAAGUUGUUAUGAUGUGGGUACUGCUUUCAUAAAACGGUUUUUUCAAUAUUUUGAGAAUUGCUAUAUUAAUUUUUAUAAUGGGAAAACUUAGUAAAUUCCUACUGUUUUAUAUCCUGAAUUUGUUAAAAAUAGUGUGCAGAUAUUUUUAAAUGGCCUGACCAGGCUAGAAGAGUAAAGCUGAAAUAUUUAAGAUGUGAUCAUAAGUCAGAAUACAUUGGUUAUAUUUUGUAAAUUUUCAUGAACUUGACUCUUAUUUAAAUAUUGUGUUUUUUGAAUGAGUAUAUUUAUAGUGUCAAGCUUGGUAGACUAAAGGUAAUAAAAAUCAUUGUCUUAAGGUCACUGUUCUUCUGAACUAUGUAUAUUGGAUAUUUAGAAUGUUUGUGAACACAUUUAUGUUUAUAAGUGAUGCUAAACCACCAUCCCCCUUGUGUAUUAGUGGUAUAGUUUAAUUCUUUAAAAUUCCAAAAGCCAUGUGUAACUGGAACCUUUAUAAUUGGAGAUGAUUUAAUUUUGUUUAAUUAUAUACUUUCUUAUUCUCCCCCAAAUUUGCCAGCAAUUGGAGGCUGUGGAAAACCAGCGGAAGGUUUUUUGCAGACGUAAAAACAAUCAGAAUCACAAAGUUUUUUUUUAUUUAAAGUUUUGUACUGAUGGAAUUAAAACCUUAUUAAAAACA